rnacentral:lncRNA from 1 species
UCAUCUUGAGUUUUAAUAAAAAUGUCUGAAAGUUGUAGAAACCCUAAAGACCAAACCUCUUCCUCGUACCUUACCUCCGGCACCACCCUCCGCCGGCGGCGAUUCUCCAAACUUCACCGAAAAUACACCAUAGCCUCCUCACCUCUUCCUCUUUCCGAAUCUACAAUCCUUUUCCCUCAAAUCCUAGCCAAAUCCUUCGAAUCUUAAAUCAAAAGAAGCGGUCAAACCCCAAAAUCCUCCAAACCCAACCAAAAUCACACCCCAUGGCCUCCUCGACCUCCCCUUCCCAAAUCCCAAACCAAAACCCUUCAAAUCCAGUUUGAACCUUUCAAAUUUUAGAUCUAGGGUUUAGGCAAAGUUGAAGUUGCAGAUUCAAGGGUUUGUCAGUAUUCAAAUGGUUCCAAAAUGAUAUUAUGUGUUUGAUUUGUUAAAGGGCAGACAUAUAAUAUUAUUUAGGGAUCAUAUUUUAAGUCAGUCAAGUAAAAAUAAAAUCCGAGUUUGAAGGUCAAGAUUCAAGCCCAGUUGGUAAGUCCUAGUGUCUUCCUUUCGUUUCUUUCUUCUCCUUAUUUCAUUAGGUUUAGGCUAGGGUUCCGAUUUGAACCCAGGAUUACUUCUUGAGUUUGUUCCCUGUUUGUUUUAGGUCCAUUUAGUUUUUUUAAUACGUGUUUUAAGUCUUUAAUUUUGUUUCCUGUUUAACUACUUAGUUUGAUAAUUCGAUUAGUACUUUUGCCUGUUGUUUGAUUUUCUUUUGUUUGCCAGUAUUCGAUUUUUCUUUUCUUCUCUAUUCAUACUGUUUUUUGUGUAAUUUUAUACAUUUCUUAGUUUUUGGUUUGACUGAUAACAGAUAGUAGUAGUUCAGUUAGUUAAUUCAGAUUUAAGAGUUUUGUUAUAUUUGAAUUUGGUUAUAGUUGAAUGAUUUGCAGGUUUGUUAAUUUACCAUUGUAAGCACGUGAUUUUUGCCCUAUGUGAGAAUUACUCCCAAAAAUUCAAAAUAAAACAAUUUUCCUUUGUGUGCAAUUUUGAGAUUUUUCGCCGCAUUUUUGAUAAUUAUUUGUAUUUGUCCAUGCAUGUUUAUUUGUUAAAUUAAUAAAAAAUACAAAAAUAUGUCGCAUUUGUAUUUAGGAUAUAAUUCUACAAUUAGGAGCAAUUAAGUUUGUUUUUACAAGAAAAAAAAAUCAUAAAAAUAAUGUACGUUGCAUUUUUAGCAUUUAAUGUCCAAAUUGUGUGAUUUUAUCGUAAUUGCUAUUUAAUUGUGUGUUAAUUGUUAUUAAUAAUUAAUUAAUACUUUUAUAAAUUAAUUUAGUUCUAUAAGAUAAUUUAGGAUUUUUAGAAUUUAGUUUUAGUUUAAGAAAAAAUAAAAGAAGAAAAAAGAAGCAAUAAAAGAAGCAAUAAAAGAAGAAGAAAAUCGGAUUGGGCUUUUUCUUCAAUUCUAAACCACAAGCCCAAAAUCAAAUAACCCCUUAUCCAACCCAAAAAACCCACCGGGUCGACCCGACCAGGUCCGCCCUAUAACCCCAAACAAACACCCUUCCUUCUUCCAUUUUUCAUUUUUGAAAAAACCCUAAACCUAAAAACCUAAAACCACCCGCCUCCCUAUCCUCUUCAUAUUCCCCAAACCACUCCCUUCCCCUCCACCUCACCUCCAUAGCAGCACCAAGCAUCCACCAUCUCCCUCAACCCCAUUCCCAUCGCCGUUGUUUCUCCAUCUCAAAAACUCCAGCGAACUCCUCCAAAAGAACACCCUUAAGCAGCGGUUGCUGCUUCUUCAAACACCAUCUUAGAUCCCUCCCCACUUGAACCCUAACGUCGUCGUCUCAAGAAACAUCCCAGCGGCAAGUCCCUUUUCUCUCUAACGUUCCUCGUUUCUCGCUGCCAUCGCCGAUCGCCAGCUUCCUCCGCCCAAGUUCCACUUGAAACGCGCCAUUUCUGUCGUUCCAACGACCAUCCUUACUACCUCAUUGUCCAGCCACUCCAACCCUCAACCAAACGAACCAGUCCAUCGCCACCUACGACCUCCCACCAUAACCACCCAUACCCACGACGAACAGCAGCUGUGAAACAAUUCCAAACGCCAGCUCCACUGUCACGUCUUCAACACCCCAAGUCGCCGGAAAAACCAACAACGACCACUCCACAUGAGCAACCACCAUCGCUUCUGCUACGUCCAGCCAUGAACUCGAUCGUCACUGCGUCAAAAACGAAAAUGGGUUGAAAACAGUGAUGUUUGUUCAGGCGCGUCGAGUUUCCGUUCGAACCCGGACUUCAAACUAGUAGGUUUCCGUUCUUUUUUCUUUUAGUUUUCGUUCAGUAAAUUCAUAUUCCGCUCCUUUUCUUCUUUCCAUGAUUAUGUUCUUGUUCCGAUAGGUUAGUUUGAAUUCGAACCCAGGUCUUUGUUUGAGUUAGAUUUAAUUCAUGUUCAUUUUUUGUUUGAAGUUCGUUAGUUUUUCAUCAAGUGAUUUAGUAUGAGUGUUUAUGUGUUGGUCUUUAGUUUUUGAUUUAGUUUGAAUCAUUUACCUUUGUUGUAAUGUUGUUGGAUUUAAUUCGAAGUUCGAUUGAUGAUCGAGUUUAGUGAUUUGUAUUUACUUGUUUGUUCUACUGAGUUUGUUCAGAUAUGAAUCUGACUUUGUUGUUAAUUCAUGAACGUUGUCGAUUAGGAGUUUGUUUGGCAAGUUUAUUAUGCAGAAUUUGAUUAUUAGUUGGAAAUUGAUUAGAUGAAUUGGUUAUAGCUGCUAUAGUUUGGUUAAUUGAUUUAGGAGGAUUGGAUAUAGCUGAUGGGGUAGAAUGGUAAUUUCAGUAGUUUCAGGGGCAUUUUCGGGAUUUUAAAUGAGUCUUAAAAAAUGAUUAAUUGGAGUGCUCCGUCCACUAGGUACUAAUAAUAUUAAAAUAAUACAUUGUUUAAUACAUGGUGGGGGACAAGACAAGUGGUAGUGGGAAUUAAUACAUUGUUUAAUAUAGUGGGGGACAAAACAUGCGGUAGUGGGGAAUAAGGGAAUUAAAUAAAGAAAAGAUAUGUGUUAGUGGAACUAAUAUAUUUGUUUAAUAUAGUGGGGGACAAAACAUUAAGUAGUGGGAUUCAAAAGGGGGAUGAAGAGAAGAUGGUGAGAUUUAAUUUAUGUGCUUCAAGUUUAGCUAUAAAUAAAGAAGAGCUUGACACAAGUUGAGGGAGAGAAUUUUUUGAAUAUUAAGAGAGAAUUAGAGGAAAUUUUCUGAACAUUAAGAGAGAAUUGGGGAUUCUCCGGAACAGAAAAAAAACAUUCUGGAAAUCUAAAAGAGAGUAGUAUACACCCGAUAUAAAAUCUGCAUACACUGGAUAUACAGAGGGGUCAGAAUUUAAGGGUUAAACAUUAACUGGUCUUUCAAUCUAAAAAAGGUUCACUUUGUUUCUGCCCGUUGAUUGUUGUUGGUGUUUUGGAUUUUCAUUUGGUUUGUUCCUUGAGUUUGGUUGGUUAUUUGCUACUACUUCACUGGUUAUUGCUGGAUUUUUUGCUUGAUUUUAAAAUCUGUCACUGGUUUCUCGUUAUUGGUUGUUACUGGUUGCGGGGUGUUGCUGUUGUUAUAUGCUACUGCAUUUCUGCUGAUCUUCCUCUUCUUUUGCUUCCAAUAUCAGGUACACAACUGACAUGCUAGUUACUGUAAGCUGAAACAUGAAGCAUGAAUACAAAUAAAGAGUUGGAGUUUUAAUUUGAUUUAGUUUUGUUACUGAUUGUACUUAGGACAUUCUAUACACUACUGUUUUCGUAAAAAAGUUCUGCCAUUUCUGUAUAACUGGACAGUGUUAUAGUAAUGUAGUUAAUAAUGUCCCGUUGUUUUAGUUUGGUUAUUAGGUAGUAUAAGUUCAAAUGCAUGUUAAAUAAAACUAGGCCAGUAGACUGUUUUAAUAUCAUGGCAAUUUAGCUCCAACAAUCAAUUGUUUGAAUUUAGGAUUAAAACUAGACCCUUAAGUUACUUCAUUCCAAUGAAUUGCUCUUUCUAAAACUUGC